rfam:Alicyclobacillus sp. TSBA-503 genome assembly, contig: Ga0105849_109
AUAGCCUUUAAGCCAAUCCUGUGAGGUUGGGAAGGGUUCGUCAAGAGAGCUUAUGGACUGCACAGUUUUGAAUGUCGGCUGUGUGGAAAAUUUCCGGGCUACCCUCCUCAGGGAGGGUAGCCUUUUAUUA